rnacentral:rRNA from 1 species
CGGGGUGAGUAACACGUGGAUAACCUACCUAUAAGACUGGGAUAACUUCGGGAAACCGGAGCUAAUACCGGAUAAUAUAUUGAACCGCAUGGUUCAAUAGUGAAAGACGGUUUUGCUGUCACUUAUAGAUGGAUCCGCGCCGCAUUAGCUAGUUGGUAAGGUAACGGCUUACCAAGGCAACGAUGCGUAGCCGACCUGAGAGGGUGAUCGGCCACACUGGAACUGAGACACGGUCCAGACUCCUACGGGAGGCAGCAGCG